AAUCAAUUGAGAUUAUAUUUACUUAAAGUGUUAUGUGGAUGGUGCAGUCUGUGGAGUGCCAAGUCUGUCAUUAUUUCUCUGUGUUACUGUCAACGUUAUUCGGAACAGGAACAACCCAAGUUUUCCUUGACAAAGCUUAUGAAAUCACACCAUCAGUGAGUUCACAUGUGUUGGGAUGGGCGUUCUACAAGUAAUGGCUGAUGAUGCUGACAAUAUAACCACAUAUCGGACCUGAGCCUUUAUUGGUGGUGAGGUUAAUUCUUCUAGUGUUUGUAUACAUCAUUUCAACAUGGCAGUCAAGGAGGCAAUGGACAAUUUGGGGACAGAGGAAAUGUUGUUUGAUUCGUCCAACUUGAGGCAUCUUGGGCUUAGUUGGAUGCAGCAGACCGCAAACCAUACAUAGGUGCUAGCAUGAUCAACUCAAUUUUUUCUGCCAGUCUUGACCAAGAUGGAGUGCCUACAUCUGAAGUGGGAGGAGCACUGGGGCAGCAGGGGGUCAGGGUUCAAUACAGGAUUACUUCGGCCCACCACCAUUAGAGGGCUCCAUCUACGCACCCUGUCAGUAUGAAGGUAGCAGAGGAUCGGGGGGGGGGGGAGUCCUUGUCAGAUCACGUAUUGCACAGCCCCAUACAGCAGGAAGGGAAGCGAGUUAAAAAUCAAGGAUUUGUGAUGUUUAAAAGAGGAUCUUUCCCACAUGGAGGAAAUGUUCAACCAGACCUGACCCAGUGGACAAUGAUUUUUAUACUGUGAUUGGCGAGGAAGUCUUAUUCGGGCCAAACGCUGCACCGGUAAAGAGCAUGGAGUGUCACAAGGAUGGAUACAGGAGAACAGUACAGUGGAUGAGUAGCAGCAGGGCAGGAACAGUAUUCCAUAUGAGGGAGAAGACAUACAUUGAUUACACUGGCAGUCAGUACCAGCUGAAGCUGAUUUUUGUAGACAUUUCCACCAUGCAGCACCGCAUGAAUGAGGCAUUAGUUGCUAAUUUAGUUGUUCAUUUGUUCUGCCAUAAAAUUAUUAGAUGUAGUUAAUUUUUUAUGCAUUUCAUAUUUCUGUUCAUUUAUUUUAUUAUUUCGGGAAUUAGUCCACCAAUUAUUCAUUCAUGCUUUAGUUUUUU